UACGUAGGGUGCAAGCGUUGUCCGGAAUUAUUGGGCGUAAAGAGCUCGUAGGCGGCCUGUCGCGUCGGCUGUGAAAACCCGAGGCUCAACCUCGGGCCUGCAGUCGAUACGGGCAGGCUAGAGUGUGGUAGGGGAGAUCGGAAUUCCUGGUGUAGCGGUGAAAUGCGCAGAUAUCAGGAGGAACACCGGUGGCGAAGGCGGAUCUCUGGGCCAUUACUGACGCUGAGGAGCGAAAGCGUGGGGAGCGAACAGG
rnacentral:rRNA from 1 species